rnacentral:rRNA from 4 species
UGGUGGUUAUGGCGGAGCGGCUGCACCCGAUCCCAUUCCGAACUCGGCCGUGAAACGCUCCAGCGCCAAUGGUACUUUGUCUUAAGACACGGGAGAGUAGGUCGCUGCCAGGUC